AACGCGAAGAACCUUACCUGGGCUUGACAUGUAUGUGACGGCCUUGAGAGAUCAGGGCUUCCCUUCGGGGCGCAUGCACAGGUGCUGCAUGGCUGUCGUCAGCUCGUGUCGUGAGAUGUUGGGUUAAGUCCCGCAACGAGCGCAACCCUUGCCCCCUGUUGCCAGCGGAGGUAGAGAUACCUGCCGGGGACUCUGGGGGGACUGCCGGUGCUAAACCGGAGGAAGGUGAGGACGACGUCAAGUCAUCAUGGUCCUUACGUCCAGGGCUACACACGUGCUACAAUGGACGGUACACAGGGCAGCGAGGCAGCAAUGCCGAGCCAAUCCCCCAAAGCCGUCCUCAGUUCGGAUUGUCGUCUGCAACUCGGCGGCAUGAAGCUGGAAUCGCUAGUAAUCGUGGAUCAGCAUCGCCACGGUGAAUACGUUCCCGGGCCUUGUA
rnacentral:rRNA from 1 species